rnacentral:rRNA from 1 species
UACGAAGGGGGCGAGCGUUGUUCGGAAUUACUGGGCGUAAAGAGCUCGUAGGCGGUCUGUCGCGUCUGUUGUGAAAACUCGAGGCUCAACCUCGGGCUUGCAGUGGAUACGGGCAGACUAGAGUGCGGUAGGGGAGACUGGAAUUCCUGGUGUAGCGGUGGAAUGCGCAGAUAUCAGGAGGAACACCGAUGGCGAAGGCAGGUCUCUGGGCCGCAACUGACGCUGAGGAGCGAAAGCAUGGGGAGCGAACAGG